rnacentral:lncRNA from 1 species
UAAUGUGCUUGAAUCAUCCCGAAACCAUCCCCCUCGCCCCCUGGUCCGUGGAAAAAUUGUCUUCCAUGAAAUCAGUCCCUUGUGCCAAAAAAGUUAAGGACCACUGGCUUAUGGGACCUAACUCUGACUAUGUGAAUGCAAUGUCCUGUGUUUUUUUAAAAGUAAUUUGUAUUUAUUUUAGUUGAAAAAUAAAGAUUAUAUCUAUUUAUUGUGUAUGACAUUUUAAAAUAUGCAUACAUUGUGGGAUGGCUAAAUUGAGCUAAUUAACAUGUGCAUUAUCUCACAUAAUCUUUUUUGUGGUGAGAACACUUAAAAUCUACUCUCAGCAAUUUUUAAGAAUACAAUACCAAGUUAUUAACUAUAGUCACCAUGUUAUACAACAGAUUGCUUGAACUCAUUCCUCCUGUCUAACUGAAACUUUGUUUCAUUUCGCCAACAUCUCCCUCUCUUACUUCCUACUCAAUGCCCUGUGUUUUUUUAAGGCAAGAAGUUUGGGUAGUGACUGUAUAUUCUGCAAAAUCCCUGUGGACUAGACAGGUGAAGGCCAGUGUUGAUUGGGAGCCUGAGAUUAGGAGGGCAGAGACCUCCGUUCCCCUUGGAUCCAGGUUGGAUGGAAAGUAUCAGAUGUCAGGCAGAUCACUGGUUUACAGCCAGCAAAAUUACCUGGGGAGCUUUAGAAAGUACUGAUGCUUGGAUUCCAUUCCAGCAAAACUAAAUCAGCAUCCCAGCAGGUGGGAGGGGGGCCCAAGCAUCAUGGGUCUUAAGAGAGCUGCCCAGUAAGGCUUGAGAAAUACCCUUAGAGGGCUCAGGGGGAUGGACAGUGUCUCCCCCGCCCCAAAUUCAUGUUCACCCAGAACCUGAGGACGUGGCCCUAUUUGGAAUAGGGUCCGUGAAGAUGUGAUGAAAGACAAGUUCAUACUGGAGCAGAGUGGGCCCCAAGUCCAGGGACUGCUGUCCUUCUAAGAAGAGCAGAGGACACAGAUGUGCACGGAGAAGAAGGCCGAGUGAGGAUGGAGGGCGAAGGGUGGGAGCUACGGGGCCACAAGCCACAGGACAGCUGAGGCCACUGCAGGCUGAAGAGGUGAGGAAGGAUCUCUCCCAAGCCUUCAACAGGAGCAGGGCCCUGCAGACACCUUGAUUUCAACUUCCAGCCUCCAGAAAGAGUGUACUCCUUCUACUUACCAAAAAAAAAAAAAAAAAAAAGGAACUGUAAAGCAGCCUCAGGCGGGUCCUUCAGGAGGUAUCCAGAAGAAGGCAUUGUGAUCCCAGGAGAUGACAGCUCCAUGCAUGUCACUGCCCUGAAGACCUUCCAGUGGGACAAGAUGUGGAAGAGGAAGACAGUGAUACUGAUAAUACUUCUAAAAAUAGAAAAAAGCUUAUAGAAUAACAAUGUACAGAAAGAAAAUAUUUUUUGUAUAGCUAUAAAAUGUGUGUUUUAAGCUAAAUGUAAUGAGUCAAACAGUUAAAAAUAUUUAAAAGUUGAUAAAGUAAAAAGUUACAGUAAGCUGUUUCAUUUAUUUUUGAAGAAAAAAAUUUAAAAAAUAAAUGCAGUGUAGCC